rnacentral:rRNA from 1 species
UACGUAGGGUCCGAGCGUUAAUCGGAAUUUACUGGGCGUAAAGCGUGCGCAGGCGGUUUUGUAAGCCAGAUGUGAAAGCCCCGGGCUCAACCUGGGAACCGCGCUUGAGACUGGCACGCUCGAGUUCGGGAGAGGAUGGUGGAAUUCCCAGUGUAGAGGUGAAAUUCGUAGAUAUUGGGAAGAACACCGAUGGCGAAGGCAGCCAUCUGGACCGACACUGACGCUGAGGCGCGAAAGCGUGGGAGCAAACAGG